AGAGUUUGAUCAUGGCUCAGAUUGAACGUUGGCGGCAGGCCUAAAACAUGCAAGUCGAACGGUAACAGCGGGAGCUUGCUCCCGGCUGACGAGUGGCGGACGGGGUGAGUAACACGUAGGAAUCUACCUAGUAGUGGGGGACAACCCGGGGAAACUCGGGCUAAUACCGCAUACGCUCUACGGAGGAAAGCGGGGGAUCUUCGGACCUCGCGCUAUUAGAGGAGCCUGCGUCGGAUUAGCUAGUUGGUGGGGUAAAGGCCUACCAAGGCGACGAUCCGUAGCUGGUCUGAGAGGACGACCAGCCACACUGGAACUGAGACACGGUCCAGACUCCUACGGGAGGCAGCAGUUAGGAAUCUUGGGCAAUGGGCGCAAGCCUGACCCAGCCAUGCCGCGUGUGUGAAGAAGGCCUUCGGGUUGUAAAGCACUUUCAGUGGCGAAGAAAAGCUCGAAGCUAAUAUCUUCGAGUCUUGACGUUAUCCACAGAAGAAGUACCGGCUAACUCCGUGCCAGCAGCCGCGGUAAUACGGAGGGUACGAACGUUAAUCGGAAUUACUGGGCGUAAAGCGCGCGUAGGCGGUUCGAUAAGUGGGAUGUGAAAGCCCCGGGCUUAACCUGGGAAUUGCAUUCCAAACUGACGAGCUAGAGUACGGUAGAGGGAGGUAGAAUUUCCUGUGUAGCGGUGAAAUGCGUAGAUAUAGGAAGGAAUACCAGUGGCGAAGGCGGCCUCCUGGAUCGAUACUGACGCUAAGGCGCGAAAGCGUGGGGAGCAAACAGGAUUAGAUACCCUAGUAGUCC
rnacentral:rRNA from 1 species